UAAUUUACUUAACUAGUCCAAGAUUGAAGAAUAAAAUUAUUUUGAAUCUUUUGUUAAUAGUUAAUAGCUUUGAUGAGUACACUUAUGCAUACAUUAUUUUACACAUGUUCAAGUAUGUUGUAUAAACCCCAAAGUGGGAAUGCUCUGUCAAAUAUUACAGGUAUUUGCAACUUUGAUAGAUACUAAUUGCCCUCGAUAGAGGUAGUAAAAGCUUACACUCCACAGCCUUACUGAUGAUAUAUAUUAUAAAACUUUUAGUUCUUGCCAAUCUAAACGUGAAAAAUGGUAUUUCAUGGUAAUUUAAAUGCUUUUCUCGUUUUAUAACUGAGGUUGACAUCUAUCAAAAAAUUAUUUGAAUUUUUCUGAGAACUAUUAAUCUUUGAAUCCUUUUCUGUUGUUUAUCUUUUCCUUCUUCAUUUCUAAAAGUUCCUAUACAGAGAGAUUCACCCGUUAUCUGUGAUAUGAUUACAAAUGUCUGCCCUCCAAUUUGUUAUAUGUCUUUAGAUCCAAAUACCUUAUUUUUUGCCAUGUAGAAAUUUUUAAUUUGUAUGUGAUAAAAUGUUAAUACUUUAUGGAUUCUGGAUUUUCAGAAAUAAAAAGGUCAUCCUCA
ensembl:lncRNA novel transcript